UUUUCAAUAAUUUAUCUUGUUGCAAAUUUAACCAUAUUAGUAGUUCUCGAGCAAUAACCAGAAAAUGGUUGAAAACUUGGUGUUUAAUCGCCAUUUUGAAAGUAAUUGAUGGUGCAGCCGAACGUGUUCUUCAAUUAUUUUCUUUAAUUGCUAUAGUUCACCUGUCCUUGAAAAUCGAAUUAUCAUGAAGGAGUUUCUAAAAGUGCGCCAAGUGAGAGCUCCGCUUCCAGUUCCAAUAAUUACGGGAAAAGCUGUGCCGGUUCAUCGUUGAAGUCACACCUAACAAAAAUAAAAGCAUCGUAAUCGGUCCCCACACCAUCCGGAAGGUGUACAAUUAUGCAAUGAAGAAGCCUAGAAUGACGCUCCUGGUAGUACCUGGCAAAAGAGUAUCGUGGAUUCAUCUGGAUGUGGUAUCUUUUCAUUCGUACAAAAUGAAACCCCGAAUGAUGGCGGAGAAGGCCUGGAUGAAGCUACAUCCAAACAUGGUCGAGAAGAAGAUCUGGUUUAUCAUUGGCGAAAACAAUCGACUUCCUAGGAUCGAAGCAUAUCCAAACCUGCCUCCACAUUUGAUCGGAAGAUUUCCUCUUACGCGUUAAACUUCGGGUUGGCAACAAGAGUGUCCGAUAUUACGGCUAGUUUUCUCUAAUCAGAGCAGUCGAAAAUUUGCCUCGGGCAGAUCCGGAAACCUGUGAGAUGCGAGUUUUCAUCGAGGAUGCUGCUAGUGGGAAACGGUGAGGCGUCAGAUAAGCCAGCAAUUGAGCUAAACACGGAGCUAGAAGAGCUAGUAAAUGGUCCAGGCCAAGUCAAGUGGACAGUCUCAGAUGGUGUAAGAAGCUGCCAGUCAGAUUGGAUUUAAGACGUUCCCGAGAAAAUGGUCGAAAACCAUCAACGCGAAACUUUGAACGUUCCUGUAGGCGUGGCGGCAUGAAGGAAAAUCACAUUAAAAUCACCAAGCAUUUCGAGCUAUGUGCAAUUUUCCCAUCAGCCCAACGCCCAAAACUCCUGACCCACCCCACCCCAGAAAGUUGCGUCUUCAGCAAUACUAGAGCAACAUUCAUUGAUCAGUUAGGUUACUCAGAAAGUAAAUCAUUGGAAACCUUUAUUGAAAUGUUUAUAGUUUUUUGAGGAUUCGUUAACGUUCAAAACUUCUAGUGUUAGGUGCUGAAAAGCAAGUCAAAUUGUAAAACAGAUUCUAGGACAACGUAAGUUUUGAAAAAAAUGAUUCAGCCCAAAGACAAAAAGCAAAUCAAUUAUCGAGUUUCGACAACAACCAAUUCAGUUAUUUUAGUUUCAAGCUGCAGUUCGUCACUACAAAAGGAAAGGAAGCAAAUAUUAGGAAAUUAAAUUAUUGUGGUCGCCCCAUCUAUAUUAUUGUUAGAUCAAUUGAUAUGUAGAAACUAUCCGGAACAAUCGGUUAAAGCACAUUUUAAGACCUAAAAAGAACUAUUAUUUGAUAUCGGAUCUGAUCCAACCAAGAAAAUUGUUUGUGUAGA